UACGUAGGGUGCAAGCGUUAAUCGGAAUUACUGGGCGUAAAGCGUGCGCAGGCGGUUAUGCAAGACAGAUGUGAAAUGCCGGGGCUCAACCCCGGGACUGCGUCCGAUACUUCCGAGCUGGAGGUAGGUAGGGGAGAUCGGAAUUCCUGGUGUAGCGGUGAAAUGCGCAGAUAUCAGGAGGAACACCAAUAGCGAAGGCAGCUCGCUGGGACGUUACUGACACUGAGGCGCGAAAGCGUGGGGAGCGAACAGG
rnacentral:rRNA from 1 species